UACGAAGGGGGCUAGCGUUGCUCGGAAUCACUGGGCGUAAAGCGCACGUAGGCGGCUUUGUAAGUUAGAGGUGAAAGCCCGGGGCUCAACUCCGGAACUGCCUUUAAGACUGCAUCGCUUGAAUCAUGGAGAGGUUAGUGGAAUUCCGAGUGUAGAGGUGAAAUUCGUAGAUAUUCGGAAGAACACCAGUGGCGAAGGCGACUAACUGGACAUGUAUUGACGCUGAGGUGCGAAAGCGUGGGGAGCAAACAGG
rnacentral:rRNA from 1 species